AGCACUAUAUUUAAACUGUGGAUGGGAAUCUCCCCCAUUCUUGGUUACGCUGUAGUGCAAAAGAAUUCCUGACUCUUCUUUGCACAGCUGACUUUUUGCCAAUCAGCUGUUGGUAUACAGAGUUAAGGAACAUCU